GAGUUUGAUCCUGGCUCAGGACGAACGCUGGCGGCGUGUUUAACUAUGCUGUGGGGCGACGAACCACGGCUUGCCCUGGGGCCAACUCGCGAACGGCCGACUAUGCGUGGGUAACCUGCCCCGAUGACGUUACACAACUUUAGGAAACUCACGCUAAUAGCGGAUGUGGUGCACAGUCGUAUUUCUGUGUACUUUGCUGAUCUUCGGCCUCCACAUUGUCAGGCUUCCGGGACCCAUUAUUUAGUUGCCGGUCCCAAGGCCUACCAAGGUUACGAUGGUUGCUUGGCCUGAGAGGACUAUCGCCCUUUGUGUGACUGAAAGACGGACCAGAGUCCUACUGGAGGUAACGGUGGUGAAUCUUGGGCAAUGUCCCAAACUUCGACCGGUUUGCGCCCCGUGGGCUAAGACGGCCUUCCGGUUGUAUGCCCCUUUCAUGAGGGACGAAGGUUCGCCGGUGAAUAGACUUGCGGAUUGAUCUCACCUCCACAAGAGACUCCGGCUAUGUACCUGCCGUGAUGCGGGCCAAUACGAAGGGAGCGAGUGUUGUCCGGAAUCCUUGAUGGUAAGGCGCGCGUAGGUGCUUUCGGAUGUCCGUUGUGAAAGUCAAAGGUUCAAUCUUUGAGAGCCGACGCAUACUGUGCAUUUAGAUUACGGAUUACGCGAGUGCUCUUCCUGCUGUAUACUUGGAAUGCGCAGAUAUCAGGAGGAACACCAAUAGCGAAGGCAGCUCGCUGGGACGUUACUGACACUGAGGCGCGAAAGCGUGGGGAGCGAACAGGAUUAGAUACCCUGGUAGUCCACGCCGUAAACGAUGGGUACUAGGUGUGGGAGGUGUCGACUCCUCCCGUGCCGUCGCUAACGCACUAAGUACCCCGCCUGGGGAGUACGGCCGCAAGGCUAAAACUCAAAGGAAUUGACGGGGGCCCGCACAAGCAGCGGAGCAUGUGGUUUAAUUCGACGCAACGCGAAGAACCUUACCUGGGCUUGACAUGUUGGUGACCGCCGUGGAAACACGGUUUUCCUUCGGGACACCAUCACAGGUGGUGCAUGGCUGUCGUCAGCUCGUGUCGUGAGAUGUUGGGUUAAGUCCCGCAACGAGCGCAACCCCCGUCCUAUGUUGCCAGCAUUUAGUUGGGGACUCAUAGGAGACUGCCGGUGACAAACCGGAGGAAGGUGGGGAUGACGUCAAGUCAUCAUGCCCCUUAUGUCCAGGGCUACACACGUGCUACAUUGGCGCAUACAAAGGGCAGCAAUACCGCGAGGUGGAGCAAAUCCCAUAAAGUGCGCCUCGGUUCGGAUUGGAGGCUGAAACUCGCCUCCAUGAAGGUGGAGUUGCUAGUAAUCGCGGAUCAGCAAUGCCGCGGUGAAUACGUUCCCGGGCCUUGUACACACCGCCCGUCACACCACGAAAGCGAGUAACACCCGAAGCCGGUGGCCUAACCGCAAGGAGGGAGCCGUCGAAGGUGGGACCCGUGAUUGGGGUGAAGUCGUAACAAGGUAGCCGUAGCGGAAGCUGCGGCUGGAUCACCUCCUUUCU
rnacentral:rRNA from 1 species